rnacentral:rRNA from 1 species
AUUGAACGCUGGCGGCAUGCUUUACACAUGCAAGUCGAACGGCAGCGCGGGCUUCGGCCUGGCGGCGAGUGGCGAACGGGUGAGUAAUGCAUCGGAACGUGCCCAGUAGUGGGGGAUAGCCCGGCGAAAGCCGGAUUAAUACCGCAUACGACCUGAGGUUGAAAGCGGGGGACCGAAAGGCCUCGCGCUAUUGGAGCGGCCGAUGUCGGAUUAGCUAGUUGGUUGGGUAAAGGCUUACCAAGGCGACGAUCCGUAGCUGGUCUGAGAGGACGACCAGCCACACUGGGACUGAGACACGGCCCAGACUCCUACGGGAGGCAGCAGUGGGGAAUUUUGGACAAUGGGGGCAACCCUGAUCCAGCCAUGCCGCGUGCGGGAAGAAGGCCUUCGGGUUGUAAACCGCUUUUGUUCGGGAAGAAAUCCUCUGGGCUAAUACCCCGGGGGGAUGACGGUACCGGAAGAAUAAGCACCGGCUAACUACGUG